AACGAACGCUGGCGGCAUGCCUAACACAUGCAAGUCGAACGAGACCUUCGGGUCUAGUGGCGCACGGGUGCGUAACGCGUGGGAACCUGCCCUUAGGUUCGGAAUAACUCUCCGAAAGGGGUGCUAAUACCGGAUAAUGUCUUCGGACCAAAGAUUUAUCGCCUUUGGAUGGGCCCGCGUUGGAUUAGCUAGUUGGUAGGGUAAAAGCCUACCAAGGCGACGAUCCAUAGCUGGUCUGAGAGGAUGAUCAGCCACACUGGGACUGAGACACGGCCCAGACUCCUACGGGAGGCAGGAAAGGGGAAUAUUGGACAAUGGGCGAAAGCCUGAACCAGCAAUGCCGCGUGAGUGAUGAAGGCCUUAGGGUUGUAAAGCUCUUUUACCCGGGAUGAUAAUGACAGUACCGAGAGAAUAAGCUCCGGCUAACUCCGUG
rnacentral:rRNA from 1 species